rnacentral:rRNA from 1 species
GACGAACCGUGCGAACGUUAUUCGGAAUCACUGGGCGUAAAGCGCACGUAGGCGGCUUUCUAAGUCAGGGGUGAAAUCCUGGAGCUCAACUCCAGAACUGCCUUUGAUACUGGAGAGCUAGAGUCCGGAAGAGGUGAGUGGAACUGCGAGUGUAGAGGUGAAAUUCGUAGAUAUUCGCAAGAACACCAGUGGCGAAGGCGGCUCACUGGUCCGGUACUGACGCUGAGGUGCGAAAGCGUGGGGAGCAAACAGG